ensembl:lncRNA novel transcript
UCAGGAAGCUCAGGGGCUGGGGAAACAGAGAGGAGGAGACCCCAUCCAGCCUGGGAGGAGGGAGUUUGGGAAACCGGAUGUCAGAUUCCAGCCACUGGGGAGUUGGAUUUCACCCUCUGUAGUCACUUUCAAGUCUAAAAUCCCACGAAGAACUGAAGUUGGGCAGGGAAAUUGAAAGUAAAAGUGAGGAAUGGAGAAGUUUCUGUGCCACAUUUGACGUGAAACUGAAAGUGAUCAUGUAUGUGUCCCUCCUGCUCCCAUAUGAUCUGGCACAGCGCCAUUCAGUUUUACAGAAGCUGAAGCUCAGUGCAGUAGCCUGGCUUGCCAGAAUGCACUCUUUCUUAACGGCUCACAUUUCCAUCCACAGCCCAGGUCUCUGCCCUCCCAGUUCAAUCCCUCACCCCAGUCCGUUAUUUUUAAGGCAUAUAAAGGAAACCAGAGACA